CUUUCUACAUGCAAACUUCCUUCUUUGUCGAUCAAACACAAAUUGCACAUCAAAAUAAAGACCAAACAUGAUAUUGAUGAGCUUCUCGUCCUCCUCCUCCAAUUGGUCCAUCCAACAUUUGAAUUCAACCAAAUAAGUCAACCUAACUGCUUAUGUCUAACACAAAAUCGAUGUUUGGCUAGUGGAAACAUUGUCCAUCGAACAUAGAUGCAAACCCAUAUGCAUUUUUUGAGUUCUCAGUCAGUCAAGUGGUUAGAGAGAGAAAAUCUCCCUUUAGUGCUUCUUGCAUUUUCGAGCUCUCUUGAUUUUGUGGGAUUUCUUCUUGUUGUAUUUGAUUUUACUUGGAUUCUCUUAGUUAAAAUCGAAUCAGCAGUUAGGAAUUUCACUUUCUUGUUCCAAUUCGAUUUUUUUCUCAAGUUUUAGGUUGGAGUUCUACUUCACCUUUGUUUCUGGUUGUUGCUGGUCAAAUUGGUUGCAUAUUUGGGAGGUUAAUCCUGCUUGGAAUUUGCAUUCAGAUAGCUUGGUUUUGCUGGUUAGUCGUCCAAAAUUCUCCAGAUUUUGGGUGAUUUAAUCAGUUUCAGUUUGCAGCUAACAUUGGUGAGAAUGUGUUUUGCUGGGUUCUUGCUGUUCGGUUCAGGCAGCUGUGGAUUCGGCCGGUCUUUCUGCUUGGUUUCAGCUUGUGUUUUUUGUUGUCUUUGUCCUUUGCUCGUUUGACCAGGUUCGAGCUCAUCUUGCAGUUCGUGUUGGGUACUUCAAUUUUUCGGUGUAUUUUUGGGCACCAGCAGUUCGUCAUCUUGUUUGGUUGAUUCUGUCUAGUUUUGGGUUUCAUCCUUGACUGCCGGAUUCUCCAGUUCAUGUUCUUGGUGUUUUUCCCUCUUGUGUGUUCUUGUUGUUUUCCAGAUUGAAGAUUGUGUAUGUAUUGGUGUUGGUUGACUCAAGUUUGAAUUUUGAAUUUUGUCUAGGCAGCCUACUUUUCA
rnacentral:lncRNA from 1 species